CUUUAAAUGAAGAGGGACAAUUAGACAGUGUUUUGUCCAACUUCGAAUGAGAGCUUUGCCACAGUUUCUGUUUCUGUUUUAUCUCUGCUGUCACAUUUCCACAGCACAUACAAACACACAAACACCAGAAGAAUGAUACUGAAAGAAUGCAAACUGAAAUGAAUUAUUUAAAAGAAGGUAUUGUUCAUUUGUGGUUUUUUAAUCAGAGAAGAUCAAAAUGUGUUUCUAAUGAAGCACAUUAGGUGACAGGCAAUAGGUGACAGGUGUGUUAUGCUCACUUUCCUCCUUCCUCCAUGCGAAUCAGCUGUUCAUUGUAGUAUUUGUUAAAUAUCCUAAUUCCCCUGGUGAACCCUUCAUCCAAGAAUGUAUGUCCUGCAAUUACCUUUAGGGGAAGAAAGAACAGAUGAGGAGAGUGCUGUCAUGGACAUUCACAGGGGAAAGCUACAUCCUUUAAUGAAAAAGCUGUCCCUUAUGGAAAGAGUGUGUAUUUUUCCAACUUCUGUUUCUGAAGCUGAGGAAUGCUGGCCUGAAAUAUGAGUAUUAACUCAGCCAGAAUGAACUUUAGUGGACAAAAUAUGACAACUCCAACACAUCUUUGCCACAGAAGACUAAUAUGACUUUUUUUGGGGGGGAGAGCAUUUACAGAGAAGAAGGCUGUUUUUAAACCAUUAGUUACUCUAUGUAUAAGAACUCCUCUAUAAACUUGUACCAACAUCAGCUUUUUGUUCCCGUCCUGACUCUAGAUGUAACAGCAUUUUAAUGUGGCCUGUUACAUAUAUUGAAUUUCUUUACUUAUCCAAUGAGAAGCAUGGCCUUGUAAAAUUAUUUCACAGUGACAGCGAAGGAGGAAGCUGAGGACUGGAUUUAUGAUACAAUCUACAGCAAUGAUUCCCAACCUUUUUUAGCCAUGCCCCACCUAGGCCUCUGUAAAAUUCUGAUCCUCUUCACAUGAAGGAAGCCUAAAAUGCUAUUCACUUGGUCUAAAAACUUUUCAAAAACAUGGCAUCCAAGAAAGAGAAAAAUAAAAACAUGAAUUGAUUUGAGUAAUCUGCAUCGAAUUGUCCAACUUCAUUGUGUGGUGAGAAGAUGUGAAAAUAUCCUGUCUGUUGUAGCUCAGCAAGUGUCAGAGGAUUUUUCUGGUGGCGGUUCAGAGGAUGAGGGGGAUGAUGGAUUUCAAAGUGGGUUUCAGAGUGAGUCUGUGAGUGAAUGGAGAGAAUUGCAGGCAGAUGAGGCAGAUGUUUUGGAUUCCUGUGCUCCUUCCCAGGCAACGGGGGAAAGUAAAAAUUCCCUUGAAAAAAGAACUUGGGUAGACGGGGAGUUUUCCUGGGAAACUAGAUUAGGCCUGAGAACGCAAGGAAUCAAAAAUAGACAAACUAGAUAUUCUCAAAGAGUCAGAGAUAUAAGACCUUGAAGUCCAGAUGUCUUCGGCAUGAUCUCAUGGGGGCAUCAAUGAGCUUAAAUUAAGUGGUUUGGCUUCAAGCCUCUCAGAGGAGACAGUGUUGCCAUAGGAGAUGGCUUUCCUGUCUCUGCUCUCAAAUUCAUAAUUCAAGUAUUCUCAAGUUUCCUGUUCUGAUUCAUGCCUUUGUUUCCUUGGAAGGUUUGCUUUGGAAAAUUUCCUGUUUUCUGUUUUGUUCUUUCUAGUCAUUGAACGUUUGCCUUUGUGUUGUAUAUACUGGAAUCUGCCCUGAGUCCCCUCGGGGAGAUAGGACGGAAUACAAAAACAUUAUUGUUAUUAUUUUUAGUUUUAGGAUAUACCCCCUCCUUUUUGUAACAGAACUGAAAUUAGGUUAUAAUUGCACAAUAAGAACACAUAAAGCAAAAUGAAAUAUUUAAGAUAAUUAUAUAAUAUUAGUUUCUAAAUGAUUAGAUGUUCCAACAGGAGCCCCAAACCCAUACAAUUACAGUUUCUAAGGUGUAUUCCUCAUAGCAUGAUGGUAAGGGUGAAGGGGAAUGAUUUUUUUUAAAACCCAGAUAUGCUGCCUUGAGUUUCUGAAAGAAAGAGCGGAAUGUAAAAUGUAACUAAUAAAUAAUUAAUAAAUAAAAGAGUAUUUUUAUUUUAAAAUGCAAUUUUCCCCAAGGCUAUUUCCCUUGUCCCUCCAUUCCCAAUGCCUCAGCAAAUAGAGAUUUGGGAAAUGAGUCCAUGCUUGCCAAAACAACAUAUAGGUUCACUCUAAUAAGACAUAAAAUUGAGAUUGGGAGAAUGUAAAUGAGAUUUGGAAAGUAAGAGCAUGAUAAAUUGUUUGUGAUUUACCCAGAACAUAAAUCCUAACAAAAGCUACCCAGUUAUUUCUAUAAAUCUAGAUCUCGAUCACUCCCAUAAAGUAACUUGUCUAUCCUUGCAGUUAGAUAUACUUUUGAGAUCAACUACCGUAUAUAAAUAUUCAGUGCCCCACAGGUUGGAAAUGUUUCAUCUCUGGUGUUAAAUGGCCUUUAGAAACAAACAAACAAAAAACUUUUCUGAGCUGAUAUUUAUGUGAUAGGCUUUAAUGGAUAUUGGGAUGAUCAAUUGGGUUAAUAUUUUUUUCGCAAUUGAAUACAAAUUCGAAUACAAAAACGUAUAUUUCACUGAUAGAUUCGAAACUGCUCCUGAAAAACCUCUGAGGAGUUACCAUGGAAAAAGUCCUAUUAAGCUGUAAAGAUUUAUUCUUAUGUUAGAUUCCUGAUAGUAUAAAUAGAAACAAAUGCAAUAUAUAUGUAUAUCUCUGUGCAUGUGUCCUCAUCGUACUGCAAUAUAUACUUAGACCAGGAAUGUGGCCCUCCAGAUGUUGCUGGAUUGCAAAUUUCAGCAAUCUGAGCCAGCAUAUCCAGUAGUUAGGAAUGCUAAUUUUUGUCAGUAUGGUUAAUCUACAUUUCAUGUUAUAUUUUAAAAUAUUUUUCAGGUAGGGCAUUUUGAUUCUGUGUUCCUGUAUGAUUGGGGGUUGAGCUGGAUGGCCUUGUCUAGAAGCCUAUGAGUCUCUGUGUGUUUAGUUGAAUGCCUGCAGUAAAAUGCAUUACCAUACCAAGCUGAAAAAAAUCAAUUCAUAAUGUUAUUCAGUUCUCCCUCUUUGUUCCUGUUUUGAGCUAGGAAUAAAAGGAAUCUGUGACAAGUGUUUCAGAAAACCCCAGCAUAAUGUUUUAUUACACUUUUCCCUUCUUCUUGCCUCAUCUUCCCCUUCUUUAUCCUGAUCCUAUUGUUGGCUUUAGUUUACUGAUCCUGUAUGAAUCCCAGAGUUAAGAGCUUCAACAUGUAGUUUUCUGUCAUGUGAUAUAAUAGCAUCCUUGCAUACAGGAGUGACAUUUCCUGUUCACUGAUCAAACUUCAGGAUCAUCAAUGAGAUUUUUAUUUAUUUAUCGUGUCAGAAGUGAAUCAAGGGUACAAGUUGUAAUGUAUUUGGGAACAAACAAGGUUUUUAAAAACUUGGCAUUAUACUAAAUGUCCUUUGACCAGUAGCUGGACACUUGGAGUGCCUCUGGUGUUGCUGUAAGAAAGUCCUCCAUUGUGCAUGUGGCAGGGCUCAAACUACUUUGUAGUAGGUGGUCUGUGGUUUGCUCUUCUCCACACUCACAUGUUGUGGACCCAUUUCUUAAGGUUGGCUCUGCAUCUCAUGAGGCCAGAGCACAGUCUGUUCAGCACCUUCCAAGUUGCCCAGUCUUCUGUGUACCCAGAAGAGAGUCUCUCAACUGGUGUCAGCCACUGAUUGAGGGUCCAGGUUUUAGCCUGCCACUUUUGGAUGUUUGCUUGCUGAGAUUUUCUUGUGAGUAUCUCUGUAGAUCUUAGAAAUCUAUUUCUUGAUUUAAGGUGUUGGCAUGCUGACUAAUAUCUGAACAGGAGAUGAGCCAGAGAUGUCAGUGCCUUGGUCCUUUCAUUUCUGGCUGCUACUUCCCGAUGGAUGUCAGGUGGUGCAGUGCUGGCUAAACAGUAUAAUUUCUCCAGUGGUGUGGGGCAAAGACAUCCUGUGAUAAUGCAUUAAGAGCCACAUCUACUGUUUUAACGUAGUGAGAUGUAUUCCACACUGGGCAUGCGUAUUCAGCAGCAGAAUAGCAAAACAUAAGGCAGAUGCCUUCACUGUGUCUGGUUGUGAUCCCUAGGUUGCUCCAGCCAGCUUUUGUAUGAUAUUAUUUUUAGUACCCACUUUUUGCUUGAUAGUCAAGAAGUGCUUCUUGUAAGUCAGAGCAUGAUCCAGGGUAACUCCCAAGUAUUUUGAUGUGCUGCAAUCCUCCAGUGGGAUUCCUUCCCAGGUAAUCCUCAGAACUCGAGAUGCUUGUCUUUUCUUAAGGUGAAAAACACACAUCUGCAUUCUAGAUGAUCAGCUGGUUUUCCCUGUAAUAGACAGUGAGAGCACCUAAAGCUUCGGAGAGCUUCAGUUUAACCUAUUCAAAGCUCCCUGCUUGGGCGGUGAUGGUGCCAUCAUCAGUAAAGAUGAAACUCUCUUUCCCUUCUGGCAGUGGCUGGUCAUUUGUGUAAAUGUUAAACAUUGAUGGAGCAAGCACACUCCCCUGAGGCAGGCUGUUUUCUGUUUUCGCCAUCUGCUUCUCUGACCCUGCAACUUGCAACAUCUAUGAGAUACAGAUGUGGAAGUUUAUGAGAAAGAGACCUCUGGGCAGUUUUGUAGAACAAGUCAAUUGGGACUAAUAAGACCUUGUUAGCAAUUGUACCUAUUAGAGCUCAAUCGAAGGAAAGAAGGACGAAACAGUGUUACUUACAACUGACAGUAGGACCCACAAAAUGUCUAUCAACCAUUCAUAUGGCCCCAUCAAUGUAUGAGGUAUCCUAUUAAUUGGGGGCCCCUAUUGAAAAUGGCUGCUGCACCCUCUCUACAGACAAACGUAUGCAAAAAAGGCCCUUCUUAGAAAUGGCUUCCAUCAUGCCAGUCUAUUCCAACCAAAAAUGACUCCCCUAUGUUGCUGCUGAACUCUGCCCAUGGCAAAAAAGAAGAUGAGGAAGGAUGGAGGGUUCAGUUUCUUUCUCCAAUUUAGAUAAGGGAGAGGUAAUGAGGUGGAAACAUCUUGCUUCUACCUCUUAUCACUGCCUUUUUUCCCAGGCCACAUUCUCCCUUUUUUCUUCAUUUUUAUUUAUAUAGAUACUAUUGUUUUACUAUUAACAAUGCAAAAUCCCCCUGCCCAUUGUAACUCCUCUCCAUUUCUUUAAUUCUUCCUAAGUAUCUAACCUUUAU